UAGGGAAUAUUGCACAAUGGGGGGAACCCUGAUGCAGCAACGCCACGUGUGGGAAGAAGCAUUUCGGUGUGUAAACCACUGUCGUGAGGGAAUAAGGCUAUUUUUCGGAGUAGUUGAAUGUACCUCGAGAGGAAGCACCGGCAAACUUCGUGCCAGCAGCCGCGGUAAUACGAGGGGUGCAAGCGUUGUUCGGAAUCACUGGGCGUAAAGGGAGCGCAGGCGGAAGCUCAAGCGGAUUGUACAAUACCGGGGCCCAACCCCGGACCUGCAGUCCGAACUGGGUUUCUUGGAUAGUUCAGGGGCAAGCGGAAUUCCUGGUGUAGCGGUGGAAUGCGUAGAGAUCAGGAAGAACACCGAUGGCGAAGGCAGCUUGCUGGGGACUUAUCGACGCUCAUGCUCGAAAGUGCGGGUAGCAAACAGGAUUAGAUACCCUGGUAGU
rnacentral:rRNA from 1 species